rnacentral:rRNA from 1 species
UACGUAGGGUCCGAGCGUGUCCGGAAUUAUUGGGCGUAAAGGGCUCGUAGGCGGUUCGUCGCGUCGGGGAGUGAAAACCCAUGGCUUAACUGUGGGCUUGCGGUGGAUACGGGCGGACUUGAGGUAGGUAGGGGAGAAUGGAAUUCCCGGUGUAGCGGUGAAAUGCGCAGAUAUCGGGAGGAACACCGGUGGCGAAGGCGGUUCUCUGGGCCUUACCUGACGCUGAGGAGCGAA